GAUGAACGCUGGCGGCGUGCCUAAUACAUGCAAGUCGAGCGAACAGACGAGGAGCUUGCUCCUCUGAAGUUAGCGGCGGACGGGUGAGUAACACGUGGAUAACCUACCUAUAAGACUGGGAUAACUUCGGGAAACCGGAGCUAAUACCGGAUAAUAUAUUGAACCGCAUGGUUCAAUAGUGAAAUACGGUUUUGCUGUCACUUAUAGAUGGAUCCGCGCCGCAUUAGCUAGUUGGUAAGGUAACGGCUUACCAAGGCAACGAUGCGUAGCCGACCUGAGAGGGUGAUCGGCCACACGGGAACUGAGACACGGUCCAGACUCCUAAGGGAGGCAGCAGUAGGGAAUCUUCCGCAAUGGGCGAAAGCCUGACGGAGCAACGCCGCGUGAGUGAUGAAGGUCUUCGGAUCGUAAAACUCUGUUAUUAGGGAAGAACAAAUGUGUAAGUAACUAUGCACGUCUUGACGGUACCUAAUCAGAAAGCCACGGCUAACUACGUG
rnacentral:rRNA from 1 species